rnacentral:lncRNA from 1 species
CAGCACUCAAUGAAAGGGAAGGCAGAUGUAGAAAAAUCUGUCAGGAGCUCCCAGGCCAGGAGUACGCAGGGCAGAAAAUCCCUGCCUCAACACUGUGGAAGAUGAGAACUCCCUCUGAAAGUGUCCUCUAACCCACACAUACACACACCACCAUGGCAUGCAUGCGCACCUGUACACACGCACACAUACAUACGCAUACACACUCAUACACACACACACACACACACACACAUGCACACACACAUACAUACUCAUACACACUCAUACAUGCACACACGCAUGCACACACACAUGCACACACACAUGCACACACACACACAUACAUACUCAUACACACUCAUACACGCACACACGCACACACACACACAUGCACACACACACAUACAUACUCAUACACACUCAUACACGCACACACGCACGCACACACACAUGCACACACACAUACAUACUCAUACACACUCAUACACUCACACACGCACGCACACACACAUGCACACACACACAUACAUACUCAUACACACUCAUACACGCACACACGCACACACACACACAUGCACACACACACACAUACAUACUCAUACACACUCAUACACGCACACACGCACGCACACACACAUACACACUCAUACACGCACACACGCACACACACACACACACAUGCACACACACACAUACAUACUCAUACACACUCAUACACUCACACACACGCACGCACACACACAUGCACACACACAUACAUACUCAUACACACUCAUACACGCACACACGCACGCACACACACAUGCACACACGCACGCACACACACAUGCACACACACACAUACAUACUCAUACACACUCAUACACGCACACACGCACACACACACACAUGCACACACACACAUACAUACUCAUACACACUCAUACACUCACACACACGCACGCACACACACAUGCACACACACAUACAUACUCAUACACACUCAUACACUCACACACGCACGCACACACACACACAUACAUACUCAUACACACUCAUACACUCACACACACGCACGCACACACACAUGCACACACACAUACAUACUCAUACACACUCAUACACGCACACAUGCACGCACACACACAUGCACACACACAUACAUACUCAUACACACUCAUACACACACACACACACACACACACACACACGCACAUGCACAGGCACAGGCACAGGCACAAUGGUAUUUACAGUAAAUCUCUUAGCCAGGGUAGAGUAUGCUUACAAUCCUAGCACUGUGCAAAGGCAGGACAAUCAUGAACCACCUUGGGCUGCAUCAUUCUCUCGUCGAGUUUUAAGUAAGAUGAGCUUUAUAGGUAGUUGCAUCUUGCUUUUAAACAUCUGUCUUCUGACUAUCAAAUCUGGUGGUCGAAUCCUAAAACAGCCCCCACCCAUAGUGAAUGUAUGCCCCUGCAUAAUCCUUCUUAGACACAGGUAGUUGCUAUUAAUUGCUUCUAACCAGUACUGGAAAAAAGAAUAUUAUCUAUCAACAAUUACAUAUCCAAGCCCGGGGAGGGCUAAUGGCCAACGCUGGACAUCAC